rfam:Oryza sativa (indica cultivar-group) chromosome 4, whole genome shotgun sequence.
AAUAAGUGCAGUUUUAGCACUAUUCAUGUUCAACGUUUGACCGUUCGUCUUAUUUGAAAAAAGAUUAUGAUUAAUAUUUUUAUUGUUAUUAGAUGAUAAAACAUGAAUAGUACCUUAUAUGUGACUAUUUUUUUUAAUAUUUUUUUAUAAAUUUUUCAAAUAAGACGGAUGAUCAAGCUAAACACGGAUAUAUAUGGUUGCACCUAUU